CCGCCCGCGCGGCUCGGGGCGGUGCUGAGGCGGGCGGGCGCUGAGGCGGCCGUUUCCUGUCCUGGUGCAUGGUGGUCGGACGGAGGAAUUGUUGGAAAAUUUCUCGGCGAGGUAGACAAUGUUAUUAGCUCAGAUAAAUCGAGACUCUCAGGGAAUGACUGAAUUUUCUGGAGGAGGAAUGGAGGCCCAGCAUGUGACUCUUUGUCUAACAGAAGCUGUAGCUGUGCAAGGUGAACCUUCAGAUGGUGACAACUUAGAAAACAUGGAAGGUGUAAGUUUGCAAGCAGUUACCCUUGCUGAUGGCUCCACUGCUUACAUACAGCACAAUUCUAAAGAUGGUAAAUUAAUGGAUGGCCAAGUGAUUCAAUUAGAAGAUGGUUCUGCUGCUUAUGUUCAACAUGUACCCAUGCCUAAAAGCAGGGACAGCUUGCGUCUGGAAGAUGGACAAGCAGUUCAGCUGGAAGAUGGAACUACAGCAUUUAUUCAUCACACUUCGAAAGACAGUUAUGACCAGAGUGCAUUACAAGCAGUCCAGCUGGAGGAUGGAACUACUGCCUACAUUCACCACACAGUGCAAAUGCCACAGUCAGAUACCAUUUUAGCUAUUCAAGCUGAUGGCACAGUAGCAGGUCUUCACACAGGAGAUGCUGCCAUUGACCCAGAUACCAUCAGUGCUUUGGAACAAUAUGCAGCCAAGGUGUCUAUUGAUGGAAAUGACAGUGUUAGUGGCACAGGAAUGAUAGGUGAAAAUGAACAAGAUAAAAAAAUGCAGAUUGUCUUGCAAGGACAUGGAACAAGAGUGACUGCAAAAUCUCAGCAGAGUGGAGAGAAAGCCUUUCGCUGUGAUUACGAUGGCUGUGGAAAACUGUACACAACAGCUCACCAUCUUAAGGUGCAUGAAAGGUCACACACAGGAGACAGACCAUAUCAGUGUGAACAUCCUGGAUGUGGCAAAGCCUUUGCGACAGGGUAUGGGUUAAAAAGUCAUGUCCGAACACACACUGGUGAAAAGCCUUAUCGGUGCACAGAAGAAAAUUGCACCAAAUCUUUCAAGACUUCAGGAGACCUGCAGAAACAUAUUCGAACCCACACAGGUGAAAGGCCUUUUAAAUGUCCAUUUGAAGGAUGUGGCAGGUCAUUCACAACAUCUAAUAUUAGAAAGGUUCACAUCAGGACACAUACAGGCGAAAGGCCUUAUUACUGUACAGAGCCAGGAUGUGGGAGAGCUUUUGCCAGUGCAACUAAUUAUAAGAAUCAUGUGAGAAUACAUACAGGGGAGAAACCCUACGUCUGUACAGUUCCUGGUUGUGAUAAACGUUUUACAGAGUAUUCCAGUUUAUACAAACAUCAUGUUGUACAUACUCAUUCCAAACCAUAUAACUGUAAUCACUGUGGGAAAACAUACAAGCAGAUUUCUACACUUGCUAUGCACAAGCGGACAGCACACAAUGACACAGAGCCCAUUGAAGAAGAACAAGAGGCUUUUUUUGAGCCACCUCCAGGUCAAGGUGAAGAUGUUCUCAAAGGCUCCCAGAUAACCUAUGUGACAGGUGUAGAGGGAGAAGAUGUAAUUUCUGCACAGGUUGCUACAGUUACGCAGUCAGGAUUAGGUCAACAAGUAGCACUAAUAUCCCAGGAUGGAACCCAACAUGUCAACAUAUCCCAGGCAGAUAUGCAGGCCAUUGGCAAUACUAUCACUAUGGUAACACAAGAUGGCACCACCAUCACAGUCCCUGCCCAUGACGCCGUCAUCUCUUCUGCAGGAACGCAUUCCGUAGCGAUGGUUACUGCAGAAGGCACCGAAGGACAGCAGGUUGCUAUUGUGGCUCAAGACUUAGCAGCAUUUCAUAGUGCCUCAUCAGAAAUGGGACAUCAGCAGCAUGGGCACCAUUUAGUGACUACAGAAACUAGACCUGUUACAUUGUUGGCUACAUCCAAUGGAACACAAAUUGCAGUACAGCUUGGAGAACAACAGUCUCUGGAAGAAGCCAUUAGAAUAGCCUCCAGAAUACAACAGGGUGAAACACCAGGGAUUGAUGAUUAACUUCUAAAACUGCCACCAGAACAAUAGAGCGAAAGAUGAGUGUCAAGAGCACUUCUGAAACUGAAGCCUCACCUUUUACCUUCUCAAGGGAAGGAAGGAUUAAACAUCUUCUAGAUGAAGUGUUAAUCAAGUAAUCAUUUUGUAAGUAUUGUGAGGUACACAUUUUACAUAAAAAAUAAAGUCUGUAACUAUGUACCUUGAGGUAUUUGACCUCAAAAAGGCCAAGUUUGAAUAGAAUGAAGCUAAUUUAUUGUGAAUUACUGUAUCAGUGUGGGUUGCAGCCUUUUAUGUUUUUCAUAUAGAUGGCCAACUGAAAAGUGCAGUGAAAGAAUCCAACACUGUGGGAUAGAUGUGGACAAAGCAAAGGGUAUUCUCUGGAUCCAUUACAAAUUUCCGGAAACAGUGGCUGGAACGGUGGCUUUGACUUAGCAAAGAAAUAACUUCAGUUCUUCUCAUUUCCCAGGACAUUUUCUGACCGCUGUACAAAUAGUGGAGAGACCUGUGCGAUUUUCUACCCUGCUUCCAUUCAGACCGGAGUGGAAGGAGCUGCUUUGAUGCAUAAAUUUAAACUCCAGCUGGUUGAUGACAGUAAGGUACUCCUAUUUUUUUUGCAAAGCAGUCUAUCUUUGAACACCAGAUCCCCCCAAAAGUAUUUUUUGCUCCAUUGAUAGAAACCUUGGACCCCUAUGACAAGAGACCAAAAAAUCAAGAGCCAUUUUCAGUUCUUGUGUUGUAAAUAGUGCACUACACUCCAAAUAAGGCAUAGAAACAAGCAUUUUUCCCGGUGUUAUGUGUAUUUUAAAAUGCAGCUUAGGUGUUGCCAGCAGUUUGGCAUUCCUUUGAUGCUAUUUUUCAUUCUGCUAGAAAAGUUCACUUGUCAAAGGAAAAUAACAAUCUAAUUAGACCAUCACCAUUAGCAGUAACUGGUUGACACCUAACCCUAUCAGGAAUGUGAUACCAGACUUUUUCAGCUGAGGGUUAUAUUCAAAGCAGACUUUAAUUAUCCCAGUAAACAUAGAAGCUUGUAUCAACAAGCAAGCAUUUUUUGUCCUACACGCUCUGUGUAUUUCUCUCUAAUGGAAAUGUGACCCCCCUUAAAUCCUAUCCAUCUCAGGUUCUGAAACAGUAAGAGAUUUUAUUUGGAUUAUUUUUGUUCCAUUUAGAUUAUUUGAAGCAUUUUACUCAGGGAAUGGCAAAAAUUUACACUUUCAGGGCACAAGUGAUUGUGCGGAAUUUUUUCUAUAAAAAAAAAGUGUCUUAUGUUACUGUCAAAAUCCUAGCAUUUUACUCUUUCCUUUGUUUAAAUCCCUUACCAGACUUCAGGUUGACUGGCUGCUGUAUUUUACUUAUUUUUCUGGGGAGUUUUAGACUCUCCAUCAUGUUACUGCUUUGAUUCUGUAGUAUUUUGCUGAGGGGCUUCUGAGCAGGUAUCUUAGUGAGGCAAGACAAGGAAGAGGGGCUGACUUCCUAACAUCUGGCAAGUCUGCUGGCAUAAGAGAAACUACCACAUGACUGUAGAAGGCUCAUGGAGAAAGGACAAUGUUCCAAAGCUACAUCUCCAGUGGGCUUUUUGCUUCGGUGUAGAGCUAAUUCAGAUUUGAAUACAGGUUGUAAUGACUGAAAAAUCAAAGGACAAGAAUGGUUUGUGGGACAGACAGGAUUAGCUGCUAUUUGUUUUUAAACAGAUAUAUUCAAGACAGUAAGAGACAGAUUUUUGAAUGUAGGUUCCUGAGGGUGGUGUUAGUGGGAAGAAGGUGGCUGGGCCUCUUGAAACUCUUACUAGGCUUUUAUCUUUUUAUCUGCAUCUCUGAAAAGUGUUUGCAGAAUGUCUUACCUUAAGUGACAUACGUAAGAGAUUAUUAAAAUGAACAGUAGUAAAUUUGGAAAAAGGCUGAAUACCUCUUUUAUGGUUUUGCAUGUUCCCUGAAGGAGAAGAAUGAAGAAGGCUUGGGAUACUGGUAAAUUAGUAGUGACUAGUUUCUGUGCAUUAGACGUUUUGAGGUUUUUAAUUGCAGAUACAAAAUCUUGACUUCUAUUCUGAUCAUUUUAACUUCAGCGCAGGAAUGAGGCAUUCUAUUGUACUUGUUUUCAGUCAUAGCAAUCAUUCUGUCUCUUCAACUUUUAGGAUGUUUUGGAGGAAUUUCUGAUCUGAAUACAAAUCUCAGGAAUGGAUUCUUUUGCCACUUUCUUUGUAAGCAGGUAUUUCAAGUGUUAAGAGGCAGACAUACAGGCAAAAAUGAAGUCACUAAAAACUCUUAAGAGUGUGUGCUGUCAUAGUCACAGAGAAACAUUGAAUUGUACAUGACUGCUUGGCAAAACCUGUGCUUUUUUUAAUGUACCUUGUACAUUAUAACUUCUGAGUAUCUUCAGAUCUUCCCUUAAAUUCCCAGAUUUUGGGCCCAGAAACUGCUCUUUACUUUGGGAAGCAUCCCAGGUACUGUCAAAUUCCCCAUUCUAUUCUCCACCUUGUUCUCUUGCUCUUAUUAUUUACACUUCCUGAGUGAAUACAUCCUUGAGAAAUGCUCUAUCUGCAUGCAGGCUAUAGGCUAAAAAGAGUAAAAACACCGGGAGCAUCAACUACAGGCAUGUCUUUGGACACAAAGUCCACCUUUGAUGGAGAAGGUCCGUUCAACUCUGGACCUUGUAAUAAAUAAAAAGAGGUUGCCAGCUAACAGCAGCUGUUAGAAGCACAACCCCAGAUAAAAUAGUCUUUAAACUGUUCACCUUUAAGCUGUCAGUGGCCCAGAGACAACAUCUCCCAGUUGGCUGGCACAGUACCACUGAGACCUGAUAGCCUUGUAUAUGCCAAGCCUUCUGUGAACACUGGAAUGCCAUCACUGGCACUGGUGACAAGCAUGCUAGUCCCUAGGUACCUGCUGGAACCCAAGAGAAAAGCCGGGAAUAGCACAGAUCUGUCCCUGCUCUCAGUUCUCCAGCAGCACCCCUGGCACAGGUGGCUGUACUGUUUCUGUUUUUCAUAUAAGCAACUUAACCUUCCUCCUCUUCUGCUUUUUCACUCCAUUUACCCUUCUCAUAAUAAGAGGAACUCAUCAUAGUUUCACGACUAUGCUGGCUGAUGUGGAAUGGGUUUCAUAUAGUUUUUGGCAGAACUCUUCCAAUUUGAUCAAAGUGGUUUGGGGGGACUGCAGUUGAACUUAUAAGUGCAGGAAAUCCUGACAAGAUGGCAGUGUACCCCACUUCUGUGGCAGUUUCCUCUGACAGCUAGACAAAUUGGCCAUUGUUCCAUUUCUUUCCCAUUCACCAUUAUUUGGGUUCCCCUGAUACCCACAAAAGAGGGAACAAUGGUUUCCCUUGAAAACUCCUAGUUAAAAGCAGCUGUUUGUCAGUAAGUGUGUGCUGCCCCAGAUAAGUAUUUCUGGUAGCAAAAUCUUCAGUGCACCAGACUGAUAUACUUAUUUUUUAAUUUAAAAGCAAGUAUUAAAAGAAAAAACCAAGCCAAUUUUGCGAAUAUACCCUGAAAACCCUUAAACCACUCGGAUUGGUAGGAAUAUCAGUCAGGCACUGCCUGGACAUCAGGUUAUGUGCUGUUACACCUAUUUGGAGGAUCAGGGCUUUAGUUUGCAAGAACUACAGAGGCUCAAAGAUGCAUUUUAAUCAGUUUCAGAGAAUUUGGGAUGAAUUUGGCUCAGAGAGUAUGGCGGAGUGGAAGCCUGCAGAGCUCAUCCCUGCUCACUUCGGUUCCUCCUGUGAUGAUGUCCAUUGCUAAUGUGCUCUCUGCCUAAGGGAUUGGCUCUGCAGUGUUUUUUAGUCAGGCUGUUUAUAGGCCUCCUAAUGCUAGUUAUAGUCAUGUCAUGGUGGACAGGAUAGCAGAGUUGCCACACUCAGUCUGGGGGAAAAUCAUCUUCUCUUCAACACAACCGUUUAUGGUCCUGUCAAACUACAGUAAAAGAACAACUGAUGCAAAUUUAGAACAGCACAUAUGUAGACCCUAUGAACGUGGUCCUUAUAUAGCAACUAUGCAUUUUGUUAUAGUUACAUAUUUAAUCAGUACUUCUCUUUCUUAUUUGCUCUUGCUUUGGAAAUAAACUUUCUUUUAAAACAA